rnacentral:rRNA from 1 species
GAGUUUGAUCAUGGCUCAGGAUAAACGCUGGCGGCGUGCCUAACACAUGCAAGUCGAACGUUCUCUUGUUUUUUCGGAAGCAAGAGGGAGUGGCGGACGGGUGAGUAACACGUGGGAACCUGCCCUCGGGUGAGGAAUACCACCGGGAAACCGGUGACAAGACCGCAUACGUUCUCGUAGCAGUACGAGAGCAAAGCUUCUCGCAAGAGAGGUGCCUGAGGAGGGGGCCUGCGGCCGAUUAGCUAGCUGGUGGGGUAAGAGCCUACCAGGGCGACGAUCGGUAGCUGGUCUGAGAGGACGAGCAGCCACACUGGGAUUGAGAACGGCCCAGACUCCUACGGGGGGCAGCAGUGAGGAAUUUUCGGCAAUGGGGGCAACCCUGAACGAGCAACGCCGCGUGCAGGAAGAAGGUUUUCGGAUCGUAAACUGCUUUUCUCGGGGAAGAGAAUGGACGGUACCCGAGGAAGAAGCCCCGGCUAACUACGUGCCAGCAGCCGCGGUAAUACGUAGGGGGCGAGCGUUGUCCGGAGUUACUGGGCGUAAAGGGCCCGCAGGCGGUCAAGGUAGUCUAGACUGACAAUACCUCUCUUAACGAGGUGGGGUGUCUGGAAACUGCUUGACUUGAGGCAAUGAGAGGGACACGGAACUCCGGGUGGAGCGGUGAAAUGCGUAGAGUUCCGGAAGAACACCAAAGGCGCAGGCAGUGUCCUGGCUGGGUCCUGACGCUCAGGGGCGAAAGCUAGGGGAGCAAACGGGAUUAGAUACCCCGGUAGUCCUAGCCGUAAACGAUGACCACUAGGUGUGCGGAGUAUCGACCCUCUGCGUGCCGCAGCUAACGUGAUAAGUGGUCCGCCUGGGGAGUACGGUCGCAAGAUUAAAACUCAAAGGAAUUGACGGGGACCCGCACAAGCAGCGGAGCGUGUGGUUUAAUUCGAUGCAACGCGCAGAACCUUACCAGGGUUUGACAUGUCCUCGCAGCAGCCACAGAGGGCUGUGCCCGCAAGGGCCGAGGACACAGGUGCUGCAUGGCUGUCGUCAGCUCGUGCCGUGAGGUGCUGGGUUAAGUCCCGCAACGAGCGCAACCCCUAUGGGUCGUUACUCUUUUCUACCCAGACUGCCGCGUCUAACACGGAGG